rnacentral:lncRNA from 1 species
CAGUUCUCUACGGUCAAGGGCGUGGAGCUGGAGCCUACCGACCAGGACUUCUACCAGAAGUUUGCCACAGGCAGUGUGCCCAUCCCCUGGCAGAACGAGACCGAGUGCUUCCAAGAGCUGAAUGUCUUUGGGCUGGAUGGCUCAGUUCCCCCAGACCUGGACUGGAAGGGCCAGCCACCUGCACCUCCUAAAAAGGGACUGCUGCAGAGACUCUUCAGUCGCCAAGAUUGCUGUGGAAACUGCAGCGACAGCGAGGAAGAGCUCCCCACCCGCCUCUAGCCCCCAGCCCGAGGCCCCCACCAGCAGUUGGCGGUAGCAGCUACUCCGAGCGCCGUUUACAGUUUUGCACAGUGAUCUUCCCCAUUGUCCACUCAAGUCGUGGCCUGGGGAACACAGACGGAGCUGUCCCCAGUGUCCUCCGUCCCUCAGCCCCUGGCCUGGCUGAGUUUGGCAGGGCCUGGGCCAUCCCUGGGACAAAGGUGCGUCCCUUCAGCUCUUCUCCGUGGAGCUCGGGGCUUUCUGUAUUUAUGUAUUUGUACGAAUGUAUAUAGCGACCAGAGCAUUCUUAAUUCCCGCCGCAGACCUGGCGCCCCCGCCUUGGCUCCUGGGGGCAGCCAGCCCUGGCUGGGAGAGCGGGAGCUGGCAGAGGAGCCACUGCCAAACUCAAGGCUCCUCUGGCCCAGCUUGGAUGGCUGAGGGUGGUCACACCCCUGAGCCUUCAGCACUGUGCUGGCCACCCCGGCCUCUGAGUAAGACUCGUGCCUCCCCCUGCUGCCCUGGGCUCAGGCUGCUACCCUCUGGGGCCCAAAGCUGUCCCUUCUCAGUGCUUGUCAGCGCUGGGUCUGGGGCCUCUGUAUGCCCUAGGCCUGUGCCAAAGUGGCCAGAGAUUGGGCUGCCUGUGAUACCCAUCAGCCCACUGCCCCGGCCGGCCCAGAUAGGUCUGCCUCUGCCUUCCAGCUCCCACAGCCUGGUCCCUGAUACUGGGCUCUGUCCUGCAGACACCUCUUUCAGAAACGCCCAAGCCCAGCCCCUAGGAGGGGGUGGGGCAUCCCUGGUCAACCCUCAAACAUUCCGGACUCCCCUCAUAACAAUAGACACAUGUGCC